CCAAACUGUGCCAGUUGUUGGAAACUGCAACACUGGCACAAGAAGAGGCAAGUCCUUUCUUGUGAUUUUUGGAGAAGCUUACAGAAAUGGAUUUAAUGAAUGGAAACACAAGCUGAUAGAGGAUACAUCUUCACAAGUACUUGGCUCUGAGACUUGCAAGGAAUGACUACAGUAGACCCAAGGGGCAAGAACUGUUCUGAGAUAUGAAACAAAGCGAUCCCACUAAAACAACAGCAAGACAUACGAGUGGUCCUGUCCUUUCAGAGCACAAGAUGAUGAAUAUUCAUACAAAAAAUUGAAUCAGACGUACAUCAACAAUUUUCGUGACCUUGUACCAGAGGUGAUAUUCUGCCAGUUCGCCCCGGUUCAAGCGGACCAGUAGCAGUGGCGGGAGGCUCCACCCACCCUCCCAGAUGUCAUACACGCAUAUGCUCCCAGUUCCAAACCGGUAGCAAAGAAAAUGUUUUCAAAGAUUCAGAAUGCUAUAUCAACUAUUUUCAUACAAAGUAAUGCAUUCAAAAGAUCAGCUACAAAAAUGGACUAUCCAUGGUGGGCAUGUUGGUGGAAGAACUGUGUUGUUCAAUGUUUAUGUAGAUUACAGCAUGAACAUGAGGAUCUAAAAUUAGAUAAUUGACAUUUAGCAUAGAUGCAAGUUCUGAGGAUGUUACAGCAGGUCAGCAAAAUCUAAACUGUAAACAAAUCUCAUCCCAAAACAUUACAUUCAUUGGUGCAAAAUCCUUUGCCAAUAGCAUAUUCUGAAGGAAAAAUGAUGUAGAAAUCAUGGAACCUAAUCUACCUUUCACAACUGGGGACCAGCAGUCUUUGCUUCCACAAUUAGUACAGUAGUGUCUUGCAAGGCAAAUUAAUAGUGAACAAACAGGCCAAUUUGUAAUCAAAUUGAGGAAAUUCUUCUCAAAAUAUCUUCAGAUAUUGGGCCCAUAUCAGAGGUGGCAUUCAGCAGGUUCUGACCAGUCCUGGAGAACCAGUAGUGGAAAUUUUGA